CUGCUAUGAUGACUUCUUAGGACACCUUUGGAUCACACAUGAAAAUAAAUGAAUGAAAGAGCUGAGCUGC